rnacentral:snoRNA from 1 species
AGUCCACCUCAAUGCCAGGCAGCUUAUUUCUUGUGCUGUGCUGAGCAUUCAUUAAAACGGACUUAUAAAAAUAUUGUUUUAAUAUCCUAGUGCCUGAAGAUUUCGUUCUCUUCUUGCUCUCUUGGAACUUAAAACGACA